ensembl:lncRNA
CGGCUGCCAGGGUCCCUCCUCUCUCUCUUUCCCUGCAGAAGAGACUGUUUUUCAGCCCGAAGGAGCCGGAGCAGCUCCCCGAGUCCGGCCUGGACUUCAGUUACACCCCCACACCAGAGGAGGCGCUGGCACACAGAGUCCUGCAGCAGCUCGAGGAGGAGAAGCAGGAGAGCAAGAGGAUGAUGGAGCAGUUCCAGCGCUGGUCUGAAGGGGGUGCUCUGGAGCAGCUGUGCACGCCUCUGUUUAUGCCCUCGUCCACUCUGCUGACCCUGCCCACGCUGGUGCCGCCCCCUACAGGCAGGACCAGGGAGGCCACGGCAAACGCUCAGGUUCUGGAGCCGGAGGCGGGGUCAGAUUUCCCUAAA